rnacentral:tRNA from 1 species
GUCCUCGUAGCUUAAUGGAUAGAGCAUUUGGUUGCGGACCAAAAGGUUAGAGGUUCGAGUCCUCUCGGGGACG